GGUGGGAAAUAACUUACUUACAAUAAGUAAUACCUUUUUAGGCACUCUUAGUAUAAAUUUAGAGAAAAAGA
rnacentral:tRNA from 1 species